UGUUCUGUCUUCCUGUUUUAGACAAGGAAGCUAUGGUACAGAGAAAUUAACUGGUCUAUGUGAGAUCAUACAGUUAGCUAGUGACAUAGCUGAGACUCAAACCCAAGCUUUUUGAAGAUUAGGCCAGGGUUCUCCUCUUUACCAUACUGGCCUGGCUGAGGCCUCCCAACUAGGUCCAGCUUUUGUUAGAAGUGGGCUUAAGGCAAGAGGGUUCUAAGAAAGGUUAUGACACAGGGAAUUUAAUUAAAGGUUAAAUUCUGGCAAUUGUUAUUAACAUUUUAUAUAGCUUUAAUAGAGAUAUCAGUAGCAGACUAUAACAUGCUAUUAUUACAGUAACAUGGAUUAGGAAAGGUUUUCAGCAGAGAAAAUGGUGAAAUGGUUAACAUUUUCACAAGAAAAGGGAGUAUCGGUCCUAAACAGGAAGAACUGGCUUGAAUUCAAAGUGAUUAUAUAACUCCUGACUUCAAUCAUGGCACUCUCUUAAGUAGGCUUAAAUUCAUGCUUCAGUAUGGUUGCCAGGAAACUGGAAACACUGGUUGUUGCAGGCACAAAGUACCUUAAAGACACAGAUAAGAAACCUGGGGCUUUGAAAGAUUAAGGACUUUGCUCAAGACAAGAGGACUACUAAAUUAUGUAGAACUGAAACUCCAGCCGCUGACUUCA